rfam:Clostridiales bacterium 41_21_two_genomes Ley3_66761_scaffold_46, whole genome shotgun sequence.
CGAGUUGCCCAGACGAUUGCGCACAUUGUGUGAGGAAAGUCCGAGCAGCACAGAGCAGAAUAACGGCUAACGGCCGCCGAGGGUGACCUUAGGGAAAGUGCAACAGAGAUAUACCGCCCGUUUUUCGGGUAAGGGUGGAAAGGCGGGGUAAGAGCCCACCGAGUCGAUGGAGACACCGACUGCCAUGUAAACCCUAUUCGCUGCAACACCGACAGAGGAGUUGGUUGCUCGCCACAUAACCUCGAAGGGUGGCUUGAGCGUGUUGGCAACAAUGCGUCGAGAUAGAUAAUCGUUUAAUACAGAACUCGGCUUACGGUCAACUCGUCAU